ensembl:misc_RNA Metazoa_SRP Metazoan signal recognition particle RNA
GCUGGGCAUGGUGGUUCAUGCCUGGAAUCCCAGCACUUGGGAGGCCGAGGUGGGUGGAUCACCUGAGGUCAGGAGUUUGACACCAGCCUGACCAAUAUGGUGAAACCCCACCUCUA